rnacentral:rRNA from 1 species
GACGAACGCUGGCGGCGUGCUUAACACAUGCAAGUCGAACGGAAAGACCCUGCUUUUGUGGGGUGCUCGAGUGGCGAACGGGUGAGUAACACGUGAGUAACCUGCCCUUGACUUUGGGAUAACUUCAGGAAACUGGGGCUAAUACCGGAUAGGAGCUCCUGCUGCAUGGUGGGGGUUGGAAAGUUUCGGCGGUUGGGGAUGGACUCGCGGCUUAUCAGCUUGUUGGUGGGGUAGUGGCUUACCAAGGCUUUGACGGGUCGCCGGCCUGAGAGGGUGACCGGCCACAUUGGGACUGAGAUACGGCCCAGACUCCUACGGGAGGCAGCAGUGGGGAAUAUUGCACAAUGGGCGGAAGCCUGAUGCAGCAACGCCGCGUGCGGGAUGACGGCCUUCGGGUUGUAAACCGCUUUCGCCUGUGACGAAGCGUGAGUGACGGUAAUGGGUAAAGAAGCACCGGCUAACUACGUG